GAUGAACGCUAGCGGGAGGCCUAACACAUGCAAGCCGAGCGGUAGAGUUUCUUCGGAAACUUGAGAGCGGCGCACGGGUGCGUAACACGUGUGCAACCUACCUUUAUCUGGGGGAUAGCCUUUCGAAAGGAAGAUUAAUACCCCAUAAUAUAAUGAUUGGCAUCAAUUAUUAUUGAAAACUCCGGUGGAUAGGGAUGGGCACGCGCAAGAUUAGAUAGUUGGUGAGGUAACGGCUCACCAAGUCAAUUAUCUUUAGGGGUCCUGAGAGGGAGAUCCCCCACACUGGUACUGAGACACGGACCAGACUCCUACGGGAGGCAGCAGUGAGGAAUAUUGGACAAUGGGUGAGAGCCUGAUCCAGCCAUCCCGCGUGAAGGAUGACGGUCCUAUGGAUUGUAAACUUCUUUUGUACAGGGAUAAACCUACCCUCGUGAGGGUAGCUGAAGGUACUGUACGAAUAAGCACCGGCUAACUCCGUG
rnacentral:rRNA from 1 species